rnacentral:tRNA from 1 species
ACCCGAGUGGCGAAAAUGGUAUACGCGCUGUAUUCAAAAUACAGUAAAUAAUAAGGGUUCGAAUCCCUUCUCGGGUA